AGAUUUCUGCUGAGUAUUACCCCUUAUUCUCCCUCCCCCAGAGUGAGCGCGAUGUUCACACACCGGCCGGCCGGCCGGCACCUCUCCCAUCUGCAGCUGGCCUGGAGUUCUGUGGGGCCUGCUGGGGGACGCUGCAGAGCGUAACAAGAUGAUGGAUCUUCCCUAACUCAACGUGGCAGGGCAGGGCAGGGCGCUGUGUAGGCACGGCACCCUGCGGCAUGCCACCCACACGCACGUGGCCGCGGUCCAGAUGCGCAUGCCCCUGUGGUGUUAUCACAGGCGCUCCUCCGAGGAAAUCGUGCUGCCUGGACUGCACCUUUUACAGGGAAGGGAGUGUGUCUCGGGAUGAGCCAAACUGCAAUACCAGGACACAAUAGAAGCUAGGAAGAAUGCUGCAGUGGCAUCUGGCAAGCUAAGGCAAGAUACAGACAGGAGACGCUCAAACUUCUGCUUGGGAAAAUAUUCAGAGAAGCUGGCAGGUGCAAAGAGACAUCCCAUUUUUUGGUGGAAACUGAUGGAACUGGAGUUUCUAGCAAUUAUUGUGAGCUGAGAAUAACCCCAAAACCAGAGGAGAAGAGGCGGAAAGGCCCAAGGAAUAGACUGUGGCAUCCUGGACUCUUCAAUGCAGCUUGCUGGGCUGCACAAUCACAA